GACGAACGCUGGCGGCGUGCUUAACACAUGCAAGUCGAACGGAAAGGCCCUGCUUUUGUGGGGUGCUCGAGUGGCGAACGGGUGAGUAACACGUGAGUAACCUGCCCUUGACUUUGGGAUAACUUCAGGAAACUGGGGCUAAUACCGGAUAGGAGCUCCUGCUGCAUGGUGGGGGUUGGAAAGUUUCGGCGGUUGGGGAUGGACUCGCGGCUUAUCAGCUUGUUGGUGGGGUAGUGGCUUACCAAGGCUUUGACGGGUAGCCGGCCCGAGAGGGUGACCGGCCACCUUGGGACUGAGAUACGGCCCAGACUCCUACGGGAGGCAGCAGUCGGGAAUAUUGCACAAUGGGAGGAAGCCUGAUGCAGCAACGCCGCGUGCGGGAUGACGGCCUUCGGGUUGUAAACCGCUUUCGCCUGUGACGAAGCGUGAGUGACGGUAAUGGGUAAAGAAGCACCGGCUAACUACGUG
rnacentral:rRNA from 1 species